rnacentral:rRNA from 1 species
CAGACGUGCCUGUAGUUGCUCAUCCGAGCCUCCGCUCGGUGCACUCUUCUAUGGGCAGGCCAGCAUCAGUUUGGGCGGUCGGAUAAAGGCUUCGGGAAUGUAGCUCCCCUCGGGGAGUGUUAUAGCCCGGAGUGCCAUGCGACCAGCCUGGACUGAGGUCCGCGCAUCUGCUAGGAUGCUGGCGUAAUGGCUGUAAGCGGCCCGUCUUGAAACACGGACCAAGGAGUCUAACAUAUAUGCGAGUGUU